UUACGCUUGCGCGCUGAUGGUUCCCGGGAACGGGAUCAAAAGGGAACGCAGGAGAGGCAGCGCCUCGAAUCUGCGGCUGCCCCCGCAACUGUAAGCGGCGAAUCCGCGCCACCACACGCCACUGGGAAACCGGGAAGGCCGGCGCGAAUAACGACCCGCGAGCCAGGAGACCUGCCAUCGACCCGAGGUCCAA
rnacentral:ncRNA from 2 species